rnacentral:rRNA from 1 species
GGUUUUCGGAUUGUAAACCUCUGUGGACAGGGACGAUAAUGACGGUACCUGUUUAGAAAGCCACGGCUAACUACGUGCCAGCAGCCGCGGUAAUACGUAGGUGGCGAGCGUUGUCCGGAAUUACUGGGUGUAAAGGGAGUGUAGGCGGGAAGGCAAGUCAGAAGUGAAAAUUAUGGGCUUAACCCAUAACCUGCUUUUGAAACUGUUUUUCUUGAGUGAGGCAGAGGCAAGCGGAAUUCCUAGUGUAGCGGUGAAAUGCGUAGAUAUUAGGAGGAACACCAGUGGCGAAGGCGGCUUGCUGGGCUUUUACUGACGCUGAGGCUCGAAAGCGUGGGGAGCAAACAGGAUUAGAUACCCUGGUAGUCCACGCCGUAAACGAUGAUUACUAGGUGUGGGGAGUUGAACCUUUCCGUGCCGGAGUUAACACAAUAAGUAAUCCACCU